GCUUACGGCCAUACCAACCUGGCUAUGCCCGAUCUCGUCUGAUCUCGGAAGCUAAGCAGGUUUGGGCCUGGUUAGUACUUGGAUGGGAGACUGCCUGAGAAUACCAGGUGCUGUAAGCU
ensembl:rRNA 5S_rRNA 5S ribosomal RNA